rnacentral:tRNA from 1 species
GGGGUCGUCGUCUAACCUGGUAGUGACACGAGGCUCCAGACCUCGGUGUGCGGGUUCGAAUCCCGUCGACCCCA